AGCUCCAAUAGCGUAUAUUAAAGUUGUUGCAGUUAAAAAGCUCGUAGUUGGAUUUCUAGCGGACGCGACUGGUCUGCUCCGCGAGGAGUUGGUACUGAGCCGUCGUCUGUUAUCCUUGGGAUGAUUGGGCCUGGCAUUUGGUUGUCGGGUUCGGGAGUCCCAUCGUUUACUGUGAAAAAAUUAGAGUGUUCAAAGCAAGCUUAGGCUCUGAAUAUAUUAGCAUGGAAUAAUAAGAUAGGACCUUGGUGGUCUAUUUUGUUGGUUUGCACGCCGAGGUAAUGAUUAAUAGGGAUAGUUGGGGGUAUUCGUAUUCAAUUGUCAGAGGUGAAAUUCUUGGAUUUAUGGAAGACGAACUACUGCGAAAGCAUUUACCAAGGAUGUUUUCAUUA
rnacentral:rRNA from 1 species